UUCAAUGCAUAUUUUUUUUUAAUUCUCGUAUCGAAGUUACGCGUGAAGUUAGUCGUAUUGAUGACAGUUGAAAAAACGUGGGCGACCCGACAUCUACUGCGUGAAAGUCGAAAGUGAAGACUUGAGUCACUGCCCUUUACUGCGCAUAACAGAACUUUUAAAACUUUCUCCUAUAUUUGACAAACUGUACAUGCCAGUGUUACCGGAUUGCGUUAAAUGUGUCUUUGCAAUUCUAGCUCUUCAGAAAUCUUAUUUUACGAAACAAAUCUCUUAUUUCUUCUUUGUGGUUUAUUUUUUAGUUAAGUUUUCAUAUUGAGGCCAAUUUUGUGUACCCUAAGUGAACACUAAAUGUUUCUUAAUUUACUAUUUUCACUAUCUCGUUCAUUAACAUUUUAACAGAUGCUGAGAUUGAAGAAAAAAUGCUAUUAUUAAUGAAUAACUUUCAAAUAUUAACUUAAUUUUUUAGUUUUUCGUUUCAAACAAAAAAAUAAAUCCAAAGUUUAGUUUUAUUCCAUAACUUAUCACUUUCACUUAAUAGCCAGUGAAAAGAGAUUGAUUUUUCGAAAGUAUUUUUUUUUUACAUACUUCCAUACAUUUACUUUUAGCACACGAGCUCCAGAGGUUGAUAUAACAUGCGUACUAAAUAUAAUUAAUGAAUUUUAUGAAUGAAUGUGUAACUUAUUUGGUCGUGUAUCUAGUUCUGGUUUUUCUCUGUGUAAUAUGUUCCCGUAUAUGUUUGGAUUCCAUAGUAUUCGAUGACUAUUAUAUCCGUUUAUUUUUUUGUUAUACAAGGACUAAGGUCCAUCGAUGAGAAUUGUGAGAAUAAGGUGUAAUUUUUAGACGUUCAAAAAAGUUUGGCACGAAAAACUGAAAUUUUAUACUUUUUGCAAGUUUGUACUCUUUAUUAAUAAUUGAUUUUUCUCUAUUAUUCAUUUGAUAUAAGAGAUCUCUUUAGUUUUCAUAUUUUUGAUAUUAUUUCAUCACUGAUAAUAUUAAAAAAAUGGAUGCAAAGAUUAUCUUCCAAGAUUCUCAUUUUUAGUUGAUAUCGGUUUGAUGAUUUGGAACUGUACUGUGUUAUUUUAAUGAAAUUAGUCCUGAGUAGAUUAUUCUCUUUCUUCCAUAAAUAUUUGUGCUACACUCUAUUAUAGAAAAUACUUUUAAAAUGGUGUUAUAAAUUGAUUGAAAACAAUGAAAACUGUAGUUUUUGACAUGUGUACACAAUAAUUAUUGUUUGGGUCAUCCUUUUAGGUCAUAUUAGCAAUAAUCUUCCAAUGAGUUUGAAUCUAAUCUAUACGGAAAAGACAUAUACUGUAAAGUGUUUUAAUACGAGACAAAAAAGAAUUGUUAUUUUUCUUAAUGAACUUGUAUUUAAACCGUUUGUAAAUUGGUCGUUCAUCUGAUUUUUAAAACGGUUCUCUGUUAAACGGUAUCAUUUUAUUGUAGUUUAGAGUUUCCGAAAGAAAUUUAAAAUUAUACUUUGUCAUAAAAAUAUAUUUUAUUCAUUUCAAA
rnacentral:lncRNA from 1 species